GAUGAACGCUGGCGGCGUGCCUAAUACAUGCAAGUCGAGCGAAUGGAUUGAGAGCUUGCUCUUAUGAAGUUAGCGGCGGACGGGUGAGUAACACGUGGGUAACCUGCCCAUAAGACUGGGAUAACUCCGGGAAACCGGGGCUAAUACCGGAUAACAUUUUGAAACGAAUGGUUCGAAAUUGAAAGGCGGCUUCGGCUGUAACUUAUGGAUGGACCCGCGUCGCAUUAGCUAGUUGGUGAGGUAACGGCUCACCAAGGCAACGAUGCGUAGCCGACCUGAGAGGGUGAUCGGCCACACUGGGACUGAGACACGGCCCAGACUCCUACGGGAGGCAGCAGUAGGGAAUCUUCCGCAAUGGACGAAAGUCUGACGGAGCAACGCCGCGUGAGUGAUGAAGGCUUUCGGGUCGUAAAACUCUGUUGUUAGGGAAGAACAAGUGCUAGUUGAAUAAGCUGGCACCUUGAUGGUACCUAACCAGAAAGCCACGGCUAACUACGUGCCAGCAGCCGCCGUAA
rnacentral:rRNA from 1 species